GCGCUUGUGGUUCAGUGGUAGAAUGCAUCGUUGCCAUCGAUGCGACCCGGGUUCA
rnacentral:tRNA from 1 species